UCGAAGUCUAUCCGUCUUCCUUUUCUGGAC
rnacentral:piRNA from 1 species